CGGCCCCCACCCUCGUUGACUCCGAAGGGCUGCAGCAGCAAUUCAUGUUUUGGAGUAUUGCCAAGGUUCAAAACAUGAAGCGCUGCAACACCCCUUCGUGGGGAAUGUAGAAGGUGGGGACC
rnacentral:pre_miRNA from 7 species